rnacentral:rRNA from 1 species
GAGUUUGAUCCUGGCUCAGGAUGAACGCUAGCGGCAGGCCUAAUACAUGCAAGUCGAACGGGUCUAAGCAGCAAUGCUUAGAUUAGUGGCGCACGGGUGCGUAGCGCGUAUGCAACCUACCUUUUAUUGGGGGAUAGCCCGAAGAAAUUCGGAUUAAUACCGCAUAAUACUGUUUGAUGGCAUCUGAAGACAGUUAAAGCUACGGCGAUAGAAGAUGGGCAUGCGUGACAUUAGCUAGUUGGUGGAGGUAACGGCUCACCAAGGCGACGAUGUCUAGGGGUUCUGAGAGGAUGAUCCCCCACACUGGUACUGAGAUACGGACCAGUACUCCUACGGAAGGCAGCAAUAGGGAAUAUUGGGCAAUGGGCGCAAGCCUGACCCAGACCAUGCCGCGUGCAUGAUGAAGGCCUUCUGGGUUGUAAACUGCUUUUAUCAGGGAAGAAAAUACCUUUGCGAAGGGAACUGACGGUACCUGGUGAAUAAGCACCGGCUAACUCCGUGCCAGCAGCCGCGGUAAUACGGAGGGUGCAAGCGUUGUCCGGAUUUAUUGGGUUUAAAGGGUGCGUAUGCGGCUUAAUAAGUCCGUGGCGAAAGCCAACAGCUCAACUGUUGAACUGCCAUGGAUACUGUUAGGCUUGAGUACAGACGAGGUACGCGGAAUGGAUCGUGUAGCGGUGAAAUGCAUAUAUACGAUCCAGAACACCGAUUGCGUAGGCAGCUUACUAGGCUGUAACUGACGCUGAAGCACGAAAGCGUGGGGAGCGAACAGGAUUAGAUACCCUGGUAGUCCACGCCGUAAACGAUGAUUACUCGAUGUUGGCGAUACACAGUC